GGGUGCGAUCAUACUAGCACUAAUGCACCGAGAACUCCACAGCCAAGCGUGUUUGGGCGAGAGUAGUACUAGGAUGGGUGACCUCCAGGGAAGUCCUCGUGUUGCACCCC
rfam:Arabis alpina cultivar Pajares Aa.chr7_contig_1367, whole genome shotgun sequence.